rnacentral:lncRNA from 1 species
UUCGAACAUUUCGCCUCUAUACAAUUUUAACAAGAAGGUAUUGGAUCCGGAUCUAACAAUCCAAAGCAUCCAUUUAUUACCAACUCGUAAUUUAUGUUUUUAGAGGAAUCACAACUUAAGUUGGGAUUAAUCACUACCUUGCAACCUUUUGGGUUUUAAGCAUCAUUAUAUUCUAAACAGUUAACACUACCAUAUUAUCUCUACUAUAGAGAUAAUUAAUUAGAUUACCAUAAUCCAAUCAUUGAUUAAUAAAGAACAUUGUUUUGUCAAACAAAACAUUUAUCCAUUUCACAUAGUGACGGAAUUUAGUUCCUUAAAAUUUGGAAUAUAAAGACAAUCUAUGUUUUUCCAAUUUCUUUGGUAGUUCAUAUGAGGAAGUAAGUACCAUCUGCUUUCGCAGAGAUCUACAUUUGAUUCACGUUUCGAAUGUGAAGUACUUUCUCUUCUCUCAUUAAUCUUCUACUUCUUAUUAGUCACACUUUUACAACGAUUGUAAAACAUAGUUACUAAUACGGAAUCAAGCAUUCAAGUAGAAGAACCAACUGUUUUGAACUAUUCAAGAACAAUUUACAACACCUUCGAAAGGUGUGUUCUUGACACUUACAAGACAUUUCUUGCAAAUACCCUUUCCAAUGUCCAUCCUUUCAUAAAGAAAGUUUGUUCCCUUGGAGUUAAAUCUUAUCUUCUUCAUUUGACUUUCACCUUUGACUACAUUAGUCAUGGUCCCUAAACUCCCACUAUCUCUCUUGAAACUUAUUUCAAUUGUGUUAUACACAUCAAACAUUUUGGAGAGCAUGUGGUUAUUGUUCACCACAUAGUUUACAAUAAACUUAGUGAACCAUUACGAUAGGGACACAUAGGUGAAGUCCUUGCAUAGUUUCCGUCUCGUUAAGUGGUUUAUCACUUCAACACUCAAUGAUUCAAAAUCAUCAUAAGUCCAUGUUAAUGGACUAUUUUUGUCAACCAAUCAUUAUGUUCUAAACAUAAUUACAAACUUUCAAGAGUUGUACAAGGCAACUCUUAUUUCUUCAUACAACAAUUUGUAAGUGAAGAAUCAUGGCACAUUAAGUGUCCAUGCCUUUGUGCUUUCUUCUCAAGUUCUUUGUUCAUGUAACAAAGAAACAAGCACUAAGUGUUUGCAUUGACUAAGGGUUGUUCAAAACAACUCAUUAUUUCUUCAUACAACGAUUUAUAAGUGAAGAACUAAUAACACUAAAAGUGUCCUUUUCUUUAUGCUAAUCUUCGUAAGUUCCUUUGUUCAUUUAACAAAGGAUUAAGCAUUGGUUGUUUGUGUUGUCCUCUUCAUUAUAGACUUUUCUAACAUGUUCUUCCAAUGAUACAUUAUCAUUAGGAAGAUUGUGAGGAUGAGACUACUUAGAUACAUAUACAAUCCAUUUAAGACAAUCUUUGGGAUUGUGGUACCAAGUCCGGAAACUAAAGCUUUCGGCUUUUAUUUGUCAAGUGUUGGAUAGCGUUUGCAAAUAUAUUGGU